CAGCCGCCGCGGUAAAACGUAGGUGGCAAGCGUUGUCCGGAAUUAUUGGGCGUAAAGGGCUCGCAGGCGGUUUCUUAAGUCUGAUGUGAAAGCCCCCGGCUCAACCGGGGAGGGUCAUUGGAAACUGGGAAACUUGAGUGCAGAAGAGGAGAGUGGAAUUCCACGUGUAGCGGUGAAAUGCGUAGAGAUGUGGAGGAACACCAGCGGCGAAGGCGACUCUCUGGUCUGUAACUGGCGCUGAGGAGCGAAAGCGUGGGGAGCGAACAGGAUUAGAUACCCGCGUAGUCCCUGUCUCUUAUAC
rnacentral:rRNA from 1 species